rnacentral:rRNA from 1 species
UACAGAGGUCUCAAGCGUUGUUCGGAUUCAUUGGGCGUAAAGGGUGCGUAGGUGGCGCCGUAAGUCGGGUGUGAAAUUUCGGAGCUUAACUCCGAAACUGCAUUCGAUACUGCGGUGCUUGAGGACUGGAGAGGAGACUGGAAUUCAUGGUGUAGCAGUGAAAUGCGUAGAGAUCAUGAGGAAGACCAGUGGCGAAGGCGGGUCUUUGGACAGUUCCUGACACUGAGGCACGAAGGCCAGGGGAGCAAACGGG